GAUGAACGCUGGCGGCGUGCCUAAUACAUGCAAGUCGAGCGAACAGACGAGGAGCUUGCUCCUCUGACGUUAGCGGCGGACGGGUGAGUAACACGUGGAUAACCUACCUAUAAUACUGGGAUAACUUCGGGAAACCGGAGCUAAUACCGGAUCAUAUAUUGAACCGCAUGGUUCAAUAGUGAAAGACUGUUUUGCUGUCACUUAUAGAUGGAUCCGCGCCGCAUUAGCUAGUUGGUAAGGUAACGGCUUACCAAGGCAACGAUCCGUAGCCGACCUGAUAGGGUGAUCGGCCACACAGGAACUAAGACACGGCCCAGACUCCUACGGGAGGCAGCAGAAGGGAAUAUUCCGCAAUGAGCGAAAGCCUGACGGAGCCACGCAGCGUGAGUGAUGAAGGUCUUCGGAGCGUAAAGCUCUGCUAUUAGGGAAGAACAAAUGUGUAAGUAACUAUGCACGUCUUGACGGUACCUAAUCAGAAAGCCACGGCUAACUACGUG
rnacentral:rRNA from 1 species